rnacentral:rRNA from 1 species
GAUGAACGCUGGCGGCGUGCCUAAUACAUGCAAGUCGAGCGAACAGACGAGGAGCUUGCUCCUCUGACGUUAGCGGCGGACGGGUGAGUAACACGUGGAUAACCUACCUAUAAGACUGGGAUAACUUCGGGAAACCGGAGCUAAUACCGGAUAAUAUAUUGAACCGCAUGGGUCAAUAGUGGAAGACGGUUUUGCUGUCACUUAUAGAUGGAUCCGCGCCGCAUUAGCUAGUUGGUAAGGUAACGGCUUACCAAGGCGACGAUGCGUAGCCGACCUGAGAGGGUGAUCGGCCACCCUGGAACUGAGACACGGUCCAGACUCCUACGGGAGGCAGCAGUAGGGAAUCUUCCGCAAUGGGCGAAAGCCUGACGGAGCAACGCCGCGUGAGUGAUGAAGGUCUUCGGAUCGUAAAACUCUGUUAUUAGGGAAGAACAAAUGUGUAAGUAACUAUGCACGUCUUGACGGUACCUAAUCAGAAAGCCCCGGCUAACUACGUG